ACCAGGAGGCGAUGAAGGACGUAGCACGCUGCGAAAAGCUACGGGGAGCCGCGAGCAGGCUUUGAUCCGUAGAUAUCCGAAUGGGGCAACCCACCCGCAAGGGUAUCAUCAUCUGAAUACAUAGGAUGAUGAGGCGAACCCGGGGAACUGAAACAUCUCAGUACCUGGAGGAAAAGACAUCAAUUGAGAUUCUGCUAGUAGUGGCGAGCGAACGCGGAACAGGCCAGUGGUCUUUGGAAGAGAAGCAGAACACUCUGGAAAGGGUGGCCAUAGUGGGUGAUAGUCCCGUAUGCGUAGUGCUUUUAAAGAUCCUUGAGUAGGGCGGGGCACGUGAAACCCUGUCUGAACAUGGGGGGACCACCCUCCAAGCCUAAAUACUCCCUGGUGACCGAUAGUGAACAAGUACCGUGAGGGAAAGGUGAAAAGCACCCCGACGAGGGGAGUGAAAUAGACCUGAAACCGAAUGCCUACAAGCAGUCGGAGCCUCUUAUGGGGUGACGGCGUACCUUUUGUAUAAUGGGUCAGCGAGUUUCUGUUUGCAGCAAGCUUAAGCCGGUAGGUGUAGGCGUAGCGAAAGCGAGUCUGAAUAGGGCGUCUAGUUGCUGGCAGAAGACCCGAAACCGAGUGAUCUAGCCAUGGCCAGGCUGAAGGUGCGGUAACACGCACUGGAGGGCCGAACUCACGCCUGUUGAAAAAGUCGGAGAUGAGCUGUGGCUAGGGGUGAAAGGCCAAUCAAACUCGGAAAUAGCUGGUUCUCCGCGAAAUCUAUUGAGGUAGACCGUCAGG
rnacentral:rRNA from 1 species